CCAGUAGUCAUAUGCUUGUCUCAAAGAUUAAGCCAUGCAUGUCUAAGCACAUGCCUUAAUACGGUGAAGCCGCGAAUAGCUCAUUACAACAGCCAUCGUUUAUUAGAAUAUCGUUAUCCUACUUGGAUAACUGUGGCAAUUCUAGAGCUAAUACAUGCAAUAAAGCUCCGCCCGCAAGGAACGAGCGCAUUUAUUAGAAUAAAAACCAAUCGAGCCUCGGUUCGUAAUUUGGUGAAUCUGAAUAACUUUGCCAAUCGCACAGUCCUAGUACUGGCGAUGUAUCUUUCAAGUGUCUGCCUUAUCAACUUUCGAUGGUACGCUAUACGCCUACCAUGGUAGUAACGGGUAACGGAGAAUAAGGGUUCGACUCCGGAGAGGGAGCCUGAGAAACGGCUACCACAUCCAAGGAAGGCAGCAGGCGCGCAAAUUACCCACUUCCAGAACGGAGAGGUAGUGACGAAAAAUAACGAGACAGUCCUCUUCGAGGUCUGUCAUCGGAAUGGGUACAAUUUAAAUCCUUUAACGAGGAUCU
rnacentral:rRNA from 1 species